ACUGUUCCCAGAUUAGCCAUGCAUGUCUCAGUAUAAGCUUCCUAUACGGCGAAACUUGGCGAAUUGGGCUCCAUUAAAACAGUUAUAGUUUAUUUGGUGGUCAGCAAUUACAUCGGAUAACCGUGGUAAUUCUAGAGCUAAUACAUGCGCCCAAACCCGACUUCGUGGAAGGGUUGUGUUUAUUAGAUACAGAACCAACCCAGGCUCCGCCUGGCCUUGAGGUGAUUCAUAAUAACCGAACGAAUCGCAUGGCUAUGCCGGCGAUAGACCAUUCAAGUUUCUGACCUAUCAGCUAUCGUCGGUAGGGUAUUGGCCUACCGUGGCAAUGACGGGUAACGGAGAAUUAGGGUUCGAUUCCGGAGAGGGAGCCUGAGAAACGGCUACCACAUCUAAGGAAGGCAGCAGGCGCGCAAAUUACCCAAUCCUGACGCAGGGAGGUAGUGACAAGAAAUAACAAUACAGGGCAUACAUGUCUUGUAAUUGGAAUGAGUAAACUUUAA
rnacentral:rRNA from 1 species